rnacentral:misc_RNA from 1 species
GAAAUGCGAUAAGUAAUGUGAAUUGCAGAAUUCAGUGAAUCAUCGAAUCUUUGAACGCACAUUGCGCCCGUCAGCAUUCUGGUGGGCAUGCCUGUUCGAGCGUCAUUUCAACCCUCAGGACCCCCCUUUCGCGGGGAGGGACCUGGCGUUGGGGAUCGGCCCGCCCCCCGUGGCGGCGCCGUCCCCGAAAUCUAGUGGCGGUCUCGCUGCAGCCUCCCCUGCGUAGUAGUUACAACCUCGCAUCGGAGCGCGGCGCGGCCACGCCGUAAAACCCCCGACUUUCUGAACGUUGACCUCGGAUCAGGUAGGAAUACCCGCUGAACUUAAGC